AGGGAAUAUUGGACAAUGGGGGCAACCCUGAUCCAGCCAUGCCGCGUGAGUGAAGAAGGCCCUCGGGUUGUAAAGCUCUUUUGUCCGGAAAGAAAAGCUUCGGGUUAAUACCCCGGGGUUCUGACGGUACCGGAAGAAUAAGCACCGGCUAACUUCGUGCCAGCAGCCGCGGUAAUACGAAGGGUGCAAGCGUUACUCGGAAUUACUGGGCGUAAAGCGUGCGUAGGUGGUUGUUUAAGUCUGAUGUGAAAGCCCUGGGCUCAACCUGGGAAUGGCAUUGGAAACUGGGCAGCUAGAGUGCGGUAGAGGGUAGUGGAAUUCCCGGUGGAGCAGUGAAAUGCGUAGAGAUCGGGAGGAACAUCUGUGGCGAAGGCGACUGCCUGGACCAGCACUGACACUGAGGCACGAAAGCGUGGGGAGCAAACA
rnacentral:rRNA from 1 species